rnacentral:rRNA from 1 species
GAUGAACGCUAGCGAUAGGCCGAACACAUGCAAGUCGAGGGGCAGCAUAAAGGUAGCAAUACUUUGGUGGCGACCGGCGCACGGGUGAGUAACGCGUAUGCAACCUACCUACUACAAGGGGAUAACCCGGAGAAAUUCGGACUAAUACUCUAUAAUACAGGGGUCCCGCAUGGGAAUAUUUGUUAAAGAUUUAUUGGUAGUAGAUGGGCAUGCGUUCCAUUAGGUAGUUGGUGAGGUAACGGCUCACCAAGCCAUCGAUGGAUAGGGGAACUGAGAGGUUUAUCCCCCACACUGGAACUGAGACACGGUCCAGACUCCUACGGGAGGCAGCAGUGAGGAAUAUUGGUCAAUGGAGGCAACUCUGAACCAGCCAAGUCGCGUGAAGGACGACGGCCCUACGGGUUGUAAACUUCUUUUGUAAGGGAAUAAAGUUUAGUACGUGUACUAUUUUGCAUGUACCUUACGAAUAAGGAUCGGCUAACUCCGUGCCAGCAGCCGCGGUAAUACGGAGGAUCCGAGCGUUAUCCGGAUUUAUUGGGUUUAAAGGGUGCGCAGGCGGGAUGUUAAGUCGGCGGUGAAAUUUUGCGGCUCAACCGUAAAAGUGCCUUCGAAACUGGCAUUCUUGAGUGUAGAUGAAGUAGGCGGAAUUUGUGGUGUAGCGGUGAAAUGCAUAGAUAUCACGAGGAACUCCGAUUGCGCAGGCAGCUUACUAAGCUACAACUGACGCUCAUGCACGAAGGCGUGGGGAUCAAACAGG